rnacentral:rRNA from 1 species
UACGUAGGGUGCAAGCGUUGUCCGGAAUUAUUGGGCGUAAAGAGCGUGUAGGCGGCCCGAUUAGUCCGCUGUGAAAGUCCAGGGCUCAACCCUGGAAUGCCGGUGGAUACUGUCGGGCUAGAGUCCGGAAGGGGCGAGUGGAAUUCCUGGUGUAGCGGUGAAAUGCGCAGAUAUCAGGAGGAACACCAAUGGCGAAGGCAGCUCGCUGGGACGUUACUGACACUAAGGCGCGAAAGCGUGGGGAGCGAACAGG